AGUGAACGCUGGCGGUAGGCCUAACACAUGCAAGUCGAACGGCAGCACAGUAAGAGCUUGCUCUUACGGGUGGCGAGUGGCGGGUGGGUGAGGAAUACAUCGGAAUCUACUUUUUCUUAGGGGAUAACGUAGGGAAACAUACGCUAAUACCGCAUACGACCUACGGGGGAAAGCAGGGGAUCUUCGGCCCUUGGGUGAUUGAAUGAGCCGAUGGCGGGUUAGCGAGGUGGUGGGGUAAAGGCCCACCAAGGCGACGCUGCGGAGCUGGGCUGAGAGGAUGAUCAGUCACAAUGGAACUGAGACACGGUCCAGACGCCGAAGGGAGGCAGCAGUGGGGAAUAUGGGACAAUGGGCGAAAGCCUGAUCCAGCCAUGCCGAGUGUGGGAAGAAGGUCUUCGGAUUGUAAAGCACUUUAAGGUGGGAGGAAGGGCAGUAAGUUAAUACCUUGCUGUUUUGACGUUACCAACAGAAUAAGCACCGGCUAACUUCGUG
rnacentral:rRNA from 1 species